CAAUCAGUAUUUAUUAGGCGCCUACUGCGUCCAGUUCCUCCUCACGCAGCGCUGACGCGGAGAUCGGAGAUUGCGGCGCGCACGCGGCUGUGGCAGGAGGCCGAAGCGGAUCGCGGGAAUUUGGCGCCUGCUUUUUGUAGGUUGGGUGUUCUCAACUGUGAUUGGGCCCCAGCUGCGGCUGCUCGGUCGGCUGUGGCAGGGCCGGGGCGGCUAGGUACGCGACCGGCCUCCCGAGGAAUGGGGCACCAGGAGCCUCCGCUGGCCCGAAUGCCCGCGGGAGGUGCGGCUUAUAUAAAAAGGUUAUGUAAAAGAAUCAGCUGGCGCGAACACGUGGAGAGCCGCAGGAGUCUGGACGCCCGGUUCUCACCCGCGUGCGGCGCUGCGACUCCCGGUGCAGCAGCAGACUGCGGCGAACACCCGUCGCAGGCCAGUGCCUCUCGCGCAGCUCGGUACCCAAGGAGGCCCUGGCCGGGAGCCGACCAUCCCCAGCCUGAGGCUCCAGGGGGUAAACGGGCCGCCCGGAAGUGGAGGGGCGCCCGCCAGGUCACAAUCCAAGCUCCCGCUCCUCCGCGUCCUGGGGUCGGACGGAGGGAUGUGGCAGGGGGGCGCCAGGCAGCGCCGUUGCUGCUCCCCCCACCGCCCGCAGCCAUGGAAACGGGGAAGGAGGACGGCGCCCGCAGAGGUACACAAAGCCCCGAGCGGAAAAGGCGAAGCCCAGUGCCGCGAGCGCCCAGCGCGAAGCUGAGGCCGGCGGCAGCGGCCCAGGCCAUGGAUCCGGCGGCGGCCGAGGCCCCGGGCGAGGCCUGUCUGGCGCGGCGGCGGCCUGAGGGAGGCGGUGGGUCCGCGCGGCCGCGCUACAGCCUGUUGGCGGAGAUCGGGCGCGGCAGCUACGGCGUGGUUUACGAGGCAGUGGCCGGGCGGAGCGGGGCCAGGGUGGCGGUCAAGAAGAUCCGCUGCGACGCCCCGGAAAACGUGGAGCUGGCGCUGGCCGAAUUCUGGGCCCUGACCAGCCUCAAGCGGCGCCAUCAGAACGUGGUGCAGUUUGAGGAGUGCGUCCUCCAGCGGAACGGGCUAGCCCAGCGCAUGAGCCACGGUAACAAGAGCUCGCAGCUUUACCUGCGCCUGGUGGAGACCUCGCUCAAAGGAGAAAGAAUCCUGGGUUAUGCUGAGGAGCCCUGUUAUCUCUGGUUUGUCAUGGAGUUCUGUGAAGGUGGAGACCUGAAUCAGUACGUCCUGUCCCGGAGGCCGGACCCAGCCACCAACAAAAGCUUCAUGCUACAGCUCACGAGCGCCAUUGCCUUCCUGCACAAAAACCACAUCGUGCACAGGGACCUAAAGCCAGACAACAUCCUUAUCACGGAGCGGUCUGGCACCCCCAUCCUCAAGGUGGCAGACUUUGGACUAAGCAAGGUCUGUGCUGGGCUGGCCCCCCGAGGCAAAGAGGGCAAUCAAGACAACAAAAAUGUGAAUGUGAAUAAAUACUGGCUGUCCUCAGCCUGUGGCUCAGACUUCUACAUGGCCCCUGAAGUCUGGGAGGGACACUACACAGCCAAGGCUGACAUCUUUGCCCUGGGCAUUAUCAUCUGGGCAAUGAUAGAAAGAAUCACUUUCAUUGACUCUGAGACCAAGAAGGAGCUCCUGGGGACCUAUAUCAAACAGGGAACUGAGAUCGUCCCUGUUGGUGAGGCGCUGCUAGAAAACCCAAAGAUGGAGUUGCACAUCCCCCAGAAACGCAGGACUUCCAUGUCUGAGGGGAUCAAGCAGCUCUUGAAAGAUAUGUUAGCUGCUAACCCACAGGACCGGCCUGAUGCCUUUGAACUUGAAACCAGAAUGGACCAGGUCACAUGUGCUGCUUAAAAUUCAGGGCAAAGCAUCUUGGGUGUUUUUAAACUAGGAUUAUCGGUUCAUCUACAUUUCCAGAAGUGGAAUUGCAGGGUCUACAGGUCAGAACACUUCUGUAGCUCUGAAAACGCAUCGCCAAAUUGCUCUCCAAAAGGCUUUGUUACUUACCCCCUCCCGGUGGGGUGUGUGCCCUUUGCGUGGCACCCUCACCCAGCUACGAGCAGUGUUAAUGGCUAAAUGGCUGAGACCAUGGCCUGUUGAAAUCUGUUGGGUUUUCGGAAAAGUCAUGACGCAUUUUUGCAAUUGGAAAACAUAGAAAAAAUACGUCAUGACUUUUCCAACAACCCAAUAACACGCUCAUCACUCCUGGUGGGGACAAAUGGCUGGCGAGGAUGGACUCAGAGAGUAUGUCAGUUCCAGUUGUGGGGCAGGUACUCUUUAGUUAUUAGAGCCCCACCCCCCACCAACCUCAGAGAAGAAAACUGAGGCUGACGGAUAGGAAGUAAAUGGUCCAGCGUCGCCGUACCCCACUGCCUCUCGUGAGGACUAGCCAGGCGUCUCCCCAGGACCUGAGGACAAUGGGCCAGUGUUGUCAGACUGCACAUGUGGCACGUAAUGACUGAUCCUCGGGACCCACAGUCUCAUCCUGUCUCGCACAGAGGACGGCAGAGGGUACAGGUGGUGGCUUGACCGGUUGGCAAUCUCCCGACAGCUGGACAUCCAGCAAUGUGAAGCUUUUGUUUGGAUUUUCCCCCUUCUUUUGUUUUGCUUAAUUUUUUUUAUCUUCCUCUUUUUUUCCUCUUGUUUUCUUUUUUAAUUUAAACAAUUGAAACUUCAAAAGAGCAGAAGCUGUGCUAUGGACAGGCACCCAUUUCUUUAAAGAAAUUCAAUAUGGACAAAGCAUAUGUAUAAAUUUCAUUUUUAAUUUUUAUAAGGGGUUAGGGAGCUAUUUUGUUUUUGUCCUUUAUUUUUCCCUGUCGUUUACCCAUUUCUCAGCUCUGCUUUUAACACCUCACUUGCCCAGAGAAGGCCUGCCUUCCCAUGGAGAAUUUGGGGAUUUCUCCUGGAACGGGGACAUGAAGGCAGAAGGAGGCCUCGGGGCCACCUCCCCACCAGACGCAGGCGCUGCCGGACUCUCUGGUGGGCUGCUCCUGGCCAGCCCUUGGGCCUUGGAAAUGAACAGAGGUGAAGAACCACCUGGAAGAGGAAGACCAGGGUUUGGCCAGGAAAACUCAAGAAAGCAACUCUAAACUGUGGGUGUGUUCUCUUUAAGCUGUUGGAAGCCCCAGGUCACACCAGGACUUACAGUGGUGGGAAUCUGUUCCCUCUACUGCCCUUUAUAACCCAGCGCUCUGAGAGGGAGGGACAGAAGGUAGCCAUCUCCCACUUCCAGCAGUUGAGCAGCCAGCCCACCCCAGCUCCACAAGCCUACCUU